rnacentral:rRNA from 1 species
UACAGAGGGUGCGAGCGUUAAUCGGAGUUACUGGGCGUAAAGGGCGCGUAGGCGGAUGUAUAUGUGUGAUGUGAAAGCCCCGGGCUUAACCUGGGAAGUGCAUCGCAAACUGUAGAUCUAGAGUAGAUGAGAGGGUGAUGGAAUUUCCGGUGUAGCGGUGAAAUGCGUAGAGAUCGGAAGGAACGUCAAUGGCGAAGGCAGUCACCUGGCAUCAUACUGACGCUGAGGCGCGAAAGCGUGGGGAGCGAACAGG